rnacentral:rRNA from 1 species
GACGAACGCUGGCGGCGUGCCUAAUACAUGCAAGUUGAGCGCUGAAGGUUGGUACUUGUACCAACUGGAUGAGCAGCGAACGGGUGAGUAACGCGUGGGGAAUCUGCCUUUGAGCGGGGGACAACAUUUGGAAACGAAUGCUAAUACCGCAUAAAAACUUUAAACACAAGUUUUAAGUUUUAAAGAUGCAAUUGCAUCACUCAAAGAUGAUCCCGCGUUGUAUUAGCUAGUUGGUGAGGUAAAGGCUCAUCAAGGCGAUGAUACAUAGCCGCCCUGAGAGGGGGAUCGGCCACAUUGGGACUGAGACACGGCCCAAACUCCUACGGGAGGCAGCAGUAGGGAAUCUUCGGCAAUGGACGAAAGUCUGACCGAGCAACGCCGCGUGAGUGAAGAAGGUUGUCGGAUCGUAAAACUCUGUUGGUAGAGAAGAACGUUGGUGAGAGUGGAAAGCUCAUCAAGUGACGGUAACUACACAGAAAGGGACGGCUAACUACGUG